GGGGGCAGGGCGGGGGCCUAUACAUGCAGUCGAACGAGUUUUGGUCGAUGAACGGUGCUUGCACUGUGAUUCAACUUAAAACGAGUGGCGGACGGGUGAGUAACACGUGGGUAACCUGCCCUUAAGUGGGGGAUAACAUUUGGAAACAGAUGCUAAUACCGCAUAAAUCCAAGAACCGCAUGGUUCUUGGCUGAAAGAUGGCGCAAGCUAUCGCUUUUGGAUGGACCCGCGGCGUAUUAGCUAGUUGGUGAGGUAACGGCUCACCAAGGCGAUGAUACGUAGCCGAACUGAGAGGUUGAUCGGCCACAUUGGGACUGAGACACGGCCCAAACUCCUACGGGAGGCAGCAGUAGGGAAUCUUCCACAAUGGACGCAAGUCUGAUGGAGCAACGCCGCGUGAGUGAAGAAGGCUUUCGGGUCGUAAAACUCUGUUGUUGGAGAAGAAUGGUCGGCAGAGUAACUGUUGUCGGCGUGACGGUAUCCAACCAGAAAGCCACGGCUAACUACGUGCCAGCAGCCGCGGUAAUACGUAGGUGGCAAGCGUUAUCCGGAUUUAUUGGGCGUAAAGCGAGCGCAGGCGGUUUUUUAAGUCUGAUGUGAAAGCCCUCGGCUUAACCGAGGAAGCGCAUCGGAAACUGGGAAACUUGAGUGCAGAAGAGGACAGUGGAACUCCAUGUGUAGCGGUGAAAUGCGUAGAUAUAUGGAAGAACACCAGUGGCGAAGGCGGCUGUCUGGUCUGUAACUGACGCUGAGGCUCGAAAGCAUGGGUAGCGAACAGGAUUAGAUACCCUGGUAGUCCAUGCCGUAAACGAUGAAUGCUAGGUGUUGGAGGGUUUCCGCCCUUCAGUGCCGCAGCUAACGCAUUAAGCAUUCCGCCUGGGGAGUACGACCGCAAGGUUGAAACUCAAAGGAAUUGACGGGGGCCCGCACAAGCGGUGGAGCAUGUGGUUUAAUUCGAAGCAACGCGAAGAACCUUACCAGGUCUUGACAUCUUUUGAUCACCUGAGAGAUCAGGUUUCCCCUUCGGGGGCAAAAUGACAGGUGGUGCAUGGUUGUCGUCAGCUCCUGUCCUGGAAAUGUUGGGUUAAUUCCCGCAACGAGCCCCAACCCUUAUAACUAAUUUCCAA
rnacentral:rRNA from 2 species